UGGCGGCGUGGUUAAGACAUGCAAGUCGAACGGGAGAAUUGCUAGCUUGCUAAUAAUUCUCUAGUGGCGCACGGGUGAGUAACACGUGAGUAACCUGCCCCCAAGAGUGGGAUAGCCCCGGGAAACUGGGAUUAAUACCGCAUAAAAUCGCAAGAUUAAAGCAGCAAUGCGCUUGGGGAUGGGCUCGCGUCCUAUUAGUUAGUUGGUGAGGUAACGGCUCACCAAGGCGAUGACGGGUAGCCGGUCUGAGAGGAUGUCCGGCCACACUGGAACUGAGACACGGUCCAGACACCUACGGGUGGCAGCAGUCGAGAAUCAUUCACAAUGGGGGAAACCCUGAUGGUGCGACGCCGCGUGGGGGAAUGAAGGUCUUCGGAUUGUAAACCCCUGUCAUGUGGGAGCAAAUUAAAAAGAUAGUACCACAAGAGGAAGAGACGGCUAACUCUGUGCCAGCAGCCGCGGUAAUACAGAGGUCUCAAGCGUUGUUCGGAAUCACUGGGCGUAAAGCGUGCGUAGGCGGUUUCGUAAGUCGUGUGUGAAAGGCGGGGGCUCAACCCCCGGACUGCACAUGAUACUGCGAGACUAGAGUAAUGGAGGGGGAACCAGAAUUCACGGUGUAGCA
rnacentral:rRNA from 1 species